GGGGGGGGUAAAAUUAUAGCUUAUGAUGAUGUUUCUAAAAAAAAAUGAUCUUUUACAAAUUCCCAUAAACAAGAAAUUGGUAUUUAGCCCUAAUUGUUGCCGAUGAAAGAUUUUAGAAAACCAUGAAUAAUGUAGUGUAGAUAUUUCAUCUGUGUUUUUAAAUUUUCAAUAAAAAAGUACCUACAAAUAAUGAAUCAAAACUGUUUGAAACAA
rnacentral:lncRNA from 1 species